rnacentral:rRNA from 1 species
AUUGAACGCUGGCGGCAGGCCUCACACAUGCAAGUCGAACGAGUGGCGGACGGGUGAGUAAUGUCUGGGAAAAUGCCUGAUGGCGGGGGAUAACUACUGGAAACGGUAGCUAAUACCGCAUACCAUCAGAUGUUCCCAGAUGGGAUUAGCUUGUGGGUGGGGUAACGGCUCACCAAGGCGACGAUCCCUAGCUGGUCUGAGAGGAUGACCAGCCACACUGGAACUGAGACACGGUCCAGACUCCUACGGGAGGCAGCAGUGGGGAAGAGUGCACAAUGGGCGCAAGCCUGAUGCAGCAACGCCGCGUGUAUGAUGAAGGUCUUCGGGUUGUAAAGUACUUUCAGCGGGGAGGCGUUACCCGCAGAAGAAGCACCGGCUAACUCCGUGCCAGCAGCCGCGGUAAUUC